UACGAAGGGGGCUAGCGUUGCUCGGAAUUACUGGGCGUAAAGGGCGCGUAGGCGGCCUUGCAAGUCGGUUGGUGAAAGCCCGGGGCUCAACCCCGGAGGUGCGGCCGAGACUGCAGGCUGGAGGCCGGAAGAGGAGGGUGGAAUACCCAGUGUAGAGGUGAAAUUCGUAGAUAUUGGGUGGAACACCGGUGGCGAAAGCGGCUCUCUGGUCCGGACCUGACGCUGAGGCGCGAAAGCGUGGGGAGCAAACAGG
rnacentral:rRNA from 1 species